rnacentral:rRNA from 1 species
UACGGGGGGUGCAAGCGUUACUCGGAAUCAUUGGGCGUAAAGGGCGCGUAGGCGGCCAGGCAAGUCAGGUGUGAAAGCCCGGGGCUCAACCUCGGAAGUGCAUUUGAUACUGCUUGGCUUGAGUAUGGGAGAGGGAAGUGGAAUUCCUGGUGUAGAGGUGAAAUUCGUAGAUAUCAGGAGGAACACCGGUGGCGAAGGCGACUUCCUGGACCAAUACUGACGCUGAGGCGCGAAGGCGUGGGGAG